CCUACGGGAGACUGCAGUGGGGAAUAUUGGGCAAUGGGCGCAAGCCUGACCCAGCAACGCCGCGUGAAGGAAGAAGGCUUUCGGGUUGUAAACCUCUUGUAAGAGGGAAGAGCAGAAGACGGUAACUAUUGAAUAAGCCACGGCUAACUACGUGCCAGCAGCCGCGGUAAUACGUAGGUGGCAAGCGUUGUCCGGAUUUACUGGGGGUAAAGGGCGUGCAGCCGGGAAGACAAGUCAGAUGUGAAAUCCCGCGGCUCAACCGCGGAACUGCAUUUGAAACUGUUUUUCUUGAGUACCGGAGAGGUCAUCAGAAUUCCUUGUGUAGCGGUGAAAUGCGUAGAUAUAAGGAAGAACACCAGUGGCGAAGGCGGAUGACUGGACGGCAACUGACGGUGAGGCGCGAAAGCGUGGGGAGCAAACAGGAUUAGAUACCCCUGUAGUC
rnacentral:rRNA from 1 species